rnacentral:rRNA from 1 species
CCUACGGGAGGCAGCAGUGAGGAAUAUUGGUCAAUGGGCGGGAGCCUGAACCAGCCAAGUCGCGUGAGGGAAGACGGUCCUAUGGAUUGUAACCCUCUUUAGGCGGGGAGCAAUGCCGGGCACGUGUGCCCGGAGGGAGAGUACCCGCAGACUAAGCAUCGGCUAACUCCGUUCCAGCAGCCGCGGUAAUACGGAGGAUUCGAGCGUUAUACGGCUGUAUUGGGUUUAAAGGGUGCGUAGGCGGAUUUUUAAGUCAGCGGUAAAAUGUCCGGGCUCAACCCGGGCCGGCCGUUGAAACGGGGGAUCUUGAGUGGGCGAGAAGUAUGCGGAAUGCGUGGUGUAGCGGUGAAAUGAAUAGAUAUCACGCAGAACUCCGAUUGCGAAGGCAGCAUACCGGCGCCCGACUGACGCUGAGGCACGAAAGCGUGGGGAUCGAACAGGAUUAGAUACCCGGGUAGUC